AUUGCAGUGACUACCCCACCCUUUGUGGUGAAAAUGUACCAAGAGCAGUUUCAGAAGGACAUGUUGUUGUUCCUCCAGCUGCGAUAUGAAGAACUAGUUGCCGAUGGACAAAUGGUUCUCACAUUUCUUGGGAGGAAACACGAUGAUGUCUACAGCGCAAGUCUCAACCGUCUAUACGGGUUACUUUCACUUUCUGUACAAUCUCUUGUUGAAGAGGGGCUCGUGGAGAAAGAAAAGCUGGACUCCUUUAAUCUACCUUUGUACGGGCCAUCAAUGGAUGAAGUUAAGGCAGUGGUUGAGCGGAGCCAGCAGUUUGAUAUUAGUCACAUCAAACUGUUCGAGACUAACUGGGAUCCUUAUGACGACUCGGAGGGCAAUGAUGUGCACGACAGCAUCCAAAGUGGCAUAAACAUCGCCAUGUGCUUAAGAGCAGUGAUGGAGCCCCUGUUUACAAGCCAUUUUGGUGAAUCCGUGCUCGAUGAGCUCUUCAAUAAGUUUGCUUAUAACGUCGCGUUACACCUUGACAAAGAGAAGACCAAGUACUCUGUCAUUACUCUAUCGUUAAAAAAAAAGAUGAGGCAUAGACGAUGUGUGUUCUUGCAAUUUAUGUGUUUAUCAGCAGCCUCAAAAAGUAUCUUCAUGAGUCAUGGGUUAUGUCAUGUAAUUGUUGCACAUUAA
rnacentral:rRNA from 1 species